rnacentral:rRNA from 1 species
GUGGGGAAUAUUGCGCAAUGGGGGAAACCCUGACGCAGCGACGCCGUGUGAGGGAAGAAGGCCUUCGGGUCGUAAACCUCUGUCAGAAGGGAAGAACCGCCGGGGGAUGAAUAAGUCCUCGGCCUGACGGUACCUUCAGAGGAAGCGCCGGCUAACUCCGUGCCAGCAGCCGCGGUAAUACGGAGGGCGCAAGCGUUAAUCGGAAUUACUGGGCGUAAAGCGUGCGUAGGCUGUUUGGUAAGUCAGGCGUGAAAGCCCUCGGCUCAACCGGGGAACUGCGUUUGAUACUGCCGGACUCGAGUCCCGGAGAGGGUGGCGGAAUUCCUGGUGUAGGAGUGAAAUCCGUAGAUAUCAGGAGGAACACCGGUGGCGAAGGCGGCCACCUGGACGGGUACUGACGCUGAGGCACGAAAGCGUGGGGAGCAAACAGGAUUAGAAACCCUUGUAGUCC